UACGUAGGUGGCAAGCGUUGUCCGAAUUUACUGGGCGUAAAGAGCGCGCAGGCGGUCGAUCAAGUCGCGUGUGAAAGCCCCCGGCUCAACUGGGGAGGGUCACGCGAUACUGAUCGACUCGAAGGCAGGAGAGGGUAGUGGAAUUCCCGGUGUAGUGGUGAAAUGCGUAGAUAUCGGGAGGAACACCAGUGGCGAAGGCGACUACCUGGCCUGUUCUUGACGCUGAGGCGCGAAAGCUAGGGGAGCAAACGGG
rnacentral:rRNA from 1 species